UGUGUCUGAGCAGCAGCAGGAGGAGGAGGAGGAGGAGGAGGAGGCAGCGGCGAGGUGAGAGGCACAUUUCGGGGUCUAUAUAUACCGGGAGGAGGCAGCUUGUGGCAUUGUCUUGUGAAGUGAGAGCUGCUGCGAAGAUGGUGAGCCGAGUAACUUGCUUUAACUCGCUCUCUCUCUCUCUCUCUCUCUCUCUCCUCUCUCUCUCUCUCUCUCUCUCUCUCUCUCUCUCUCUCUCUCUCUCUCUCAUACUUUUGCUUUCUGUGGUUAUUUUUGGUUCGCCGUGUGCUACUUUCGUUUUUGUUUUCUUUCUGCUCUCUUUCCCUCCUUGUCUCUUUCUCUUUCUCUUUCUGACUUUCCUGUUUUGUUUGCUCUCUUUUCUGUUUUGUGUUUCUCUGUCUGUUUUCUAUCUGUUUUUCUUUGUUCUUUCUGGUGUAUCUGUCUUUUUAAUUAUGAGAUUUUCAGUUUGGAAACGCUUCUAUUUCUUUCUCAUUUCUUCUUCCUGUCCGUCUUUCCAAAUUUUUAUCUUUCCAUCUCUUAUCUUUUUAUCUCUUCCAUGCACAUUCCGCCAUCCACUUCUCUUUUCCAUUUUGUUCUUUCUCCCUUUCCCUUUUUCCCUGUUUUACCUGAUUCUUCUUCCUUUUUAUCUUUCCCCCUCCCUCUCCCUCCCUCCCCGCACCACUAAAGACUUGCAUCUCUCGUGUUUCUACAUCUCAUCAUUACCGCUAGGGAUUCUCUCCCUCCCCAACACCUCCACUGCGUCAUGGCAGGCAUUCUGUAACGCCUCUCCUCACUCUUUUUUUUUUUUCCUUUCUUCUCUCAAUGAACAAACCUGCCAUGCCCCUCUCUCCAACCUGAUCCACUCUCCCUCACUCCCUUACUCUCCCUUCCCCCUGCCCCUCACACCUGGCUCUCCUCACAUUCACUACCUCAUCUCUUUCAUUCCCUCUCUCUUUCAACUCUCAUUUCCUUUCCACUUUCUCCAUGUUACUCCUCCAGCACCAACCCUCAUUCCUCCCUCCCUCCUCGCAGCGCGCGGGCAGCACUGGUCCUCUUGGCGCUGGUGGCGGCGGCGGUCGCCACCCCCGGGCUUUAAGGGCUUCGGGGGGCGGCGGCAAGAAGGGCGGUGGCGGAGGAUCUCGCUACCACUACGUGUACGUGCCCCGUGCACGUGCCCGUGCACCACCAGCACACCAUCAAGUACGUGGGUGGAUAUGGCGGCGGCGGCGGCGGCUAUGGUGGUGGCGGCCAUGGCGGCGGCGGAUAUGGCGGCGGUGGAUUUGGCGGCGGCGGCGGCGGCGGCUAUGGCGGUGGUGGAUUCGGCGGCGGCCCACGGAGGCGGCGGCUAUGGUGGUGGUGGAUUCGGUGGUGGCCAUGGCGGUGGUGGAUUCGGUGGCGGCCAUGGCGGCGGCGGUUAUGGCGGAGGUGGACAUGGCGGCUUCGGCGGCGGUGGAUUUGGCGGAGGCGGCUAUGGUGGUGGCGGUCAUGGCGGCGGCGGCGGCGGCGGCUAUGGCGGCGGUGGACAUGGUGGCUUCGGCGGGCGGUGGACAUGGCGGUUUUGGCGGCGGCGGGCGGCGGGUUAUGACAUUGGCGGCCACGGUGGCCGGUGGCGGUGGAUACGGAGGUGGAGGCAGCUCUUACAGUGGAUACCAUUGAGAGUGCGCGAGAGACUAAGUCAUUCCUCUCACUCCCUCUCCCCUUCCUCUCUUUCUCUACCUCCCUCCGUACCUGCCCCCGCCCCUCCCUUCACCUCCCUGCCCACCCCCCUCCCUCACCUGUUUGUUACCUGCAGUUGCGUGUCUUGUUCUCGUUUCGUUCGUUCCUUUGUUCCGCAUCACGUGAUAUAUGAAUAAAGUAUUUUUAAAGUUUAAGUUUGAAAAA